rnacentral:rRNA from 1 species
CCUACGGGUGGCAGCAGUGAGGAAUAUUGGUCAAUGGCCGGAAGGCUGAACCAGCCAAGUCGCGUGAAUGACGAAGGCCUUCGGGUCGUAAAGUUCUUUCGACAGGGAAGAAAAUGCCUAUAAGUAACUGUGUAUGUAUUGACGGUACCUGUAUAAGCAGCCCCGGCUAACUCCGUGCCAGCAGCCGCGGUAAGACGGAGGGGGCGAGCGUUGUUCGGAGUGACUGGGCGUAAAGAGCACGUAGGCGGUGUCGUAAGUCAGAAGUCAAAGGGUAGAGCUCAACUUUAGGAAGGCUAGUGAUACUAUAAUACUAGAGUAUCAGAGAGGAAUGCAGAAUGACUGGUGUAGCGGUGAAAUGCGUAGAUAUCAGGAGGAAUACCGUUAGCGAAGGCGGCAAUCUGGCUGGAAACUGACGCUGAGGUGCGAAAGCGUGGGUAGCAAACAGGAUUAGAUACCCGAGUAGUC